AGGACGAACGCUGGCGGCGCGCUUAAUACAUGCAAGUCGAGCGAGAACCAGGGCUUCGGCUCUGGGGACAGCGGCGAACGGGUGAGUAACACGUGGGUAAUCAACCCCCGACACCGGGAUAGCCCAGGGAAACUUGGAUUAAUACCGGAUGCUCCGUCUGGCUUUAGGGCCGGCCGGAAAAGGGUAGCUUCGGCCUCCGGUCGGGGACGAGCCCGCGGCGGAUUAGCUUGUUGGUGAGGUAAAGGCUCACCAAGGCGACAAUCCGUAGC
rnacentral:rRNA from 1 species